GAUGAACGCUGGCGGCGUGCCUAAUACAUGCAAGUCGAGCGAACAGACGAGGAGCUUGCUCCUCUGACGUUAGCGGCGGACGGGUGAGUAACACGUGGAUAACCUACCUAUAAGACUGGGAUAACUUCGGGAAACCGGAGCUAAUACCGGAUAAUAUAUUGAACCGCAUGGUUCAAUAGUGAAAGACGGUUUUGCUGUCACUUAUAGAUGGAUCCGCGCCGCAUUAGCUAGUUGGUAAGGUAACGGCUUACCAAGGCGACGAUGCGUCGCCGACCUGAGAGGGUGAUCGGCCACACUGGAACUGAGACACGGUCCAGACUCCUACGGGAGGCAGCAGUAGGGAAUCUUCCGCAAUGGGCGAAAGCCUGACGGAGCAACGCCGCGUGAGUGAUGAAGGUCUUCGGAUCGUAAAACUCUGUUAUUAGGGAAGAACAAAUGUGUAAGUAACUAUGCACGUCUUGACGGUACCUAAUCAGAAAGCCACGGCUAACUACGUG
rnacentral:rRNA from 1 species